ensembl:snoRNA Snora4 small nucleolar RNA, H/ACA box 4
GUACCAAAAGCUAGAUUUGUGGAAAAGGUUUUAUUUAAUAACCUUAACCAGUUCACGCUAUUUGGCAGAAUGAGUAAGACCACACUCCACAGUGGACUAUACCACUUAGUAUGGUUCAUUACUAUAUUGUGGCCUACAUU